rnacentral:rRNA from 1 species
CGCUGGCGGCAUGCCUUACACAUGCAAGUCGAACGGCAGCACGGGAGCAAUCCUGGUGGCGAGUGGCGAACGGGUGAGUAAUAUAUCGGAACGUGCCCAGKCGUGGGGGAUAACGUAGCGAAAGCUACGCUAAUACCGCAUACGAUCUACGGAUGAAAGCGGGGGACUCGCAAGAGCCUCGCGCGAUUGGAGCGGCCGAUAUCASAUUAGGUUGUUGGUGAGGUAAAAGCUCACCAAGCCUGCGAUCUGUAGCUGGUCUGAGAGGACGACCAGCCACACUGGAACUGAGACACGGUCCAGACUCCUACGGGAGGCAGCAGUGGGGAAUUUUGGACAAUGGACGAAAGUCUGAUCCAGCAAUGCCGCGUGCAGGACGAAGGCCUUCGGGUUGUAAACUGCUUUUGUACGGAACGAAACGGUCUUCUUUAAUACAGAGGGCUAAUGACGGUACCGUAAGAAUAAGCACCGGCUAACUACGUGCCAGCAGCCGUGGUAAUACGUAGGGUGCGAGCGUUAAUCGGAAUUACUGGGCGUAAAGCGUGCGCAGGCGGUUAUAUAAGACAGAUGUGAAAUCCCCGGGCUCAACCUGGGACCUGCAUUUGUGACUGUAUAGCUAGAGUACGGUAGAGGGGGAUGGAAUUCCGCGUGUAGCAGUGAAAUGCGUAGAUAUGCGGAGGAACACCGAU